AUUUAUUGCUUGUCAUUGUUAAAACGAUUGAGAUGCCAAUCAAAGCGCACAGCAGCCAAUCCAAGGCUUUAGAUUAGUCACGCUUGUUAAGUUCACGUGCUCGUGACUGAAUUCACCGCGUUCACGGAGUCUCUCGUCUUAAACAACAAAUAGUGUUUUAGCGACAUAAAUGAUGAAUUUCAUCGGAUCACAACCCUUCCUUUACACUCCAAAAUUCAUGUCCAAACUGGAUAUGUUCUCUGAUGAUCUGCUAAAAGUGUUUACCAAAAAAGGGUGGAGUGUUUAGAAAAAAUAUUCAAGAUGUGAUGCUGCCAAUGUCUCAGACCAAGCAAGAGUGCAUUCUCAAGGGGAUAUGCAUCUACCUGAAUGAAGAUGAAUAUGAUGGAGUAUUUGGAUGAUGACCCUGCAAGAACCGAAGCGGACAUAAAGAAGACCUUUUAGGGAUUCUGUGAUGAAGGCAUGAAUUUGCUGAUGCAACAGAAGACCCUGAAGAUAUCUGCAUUGUGCUGGAAGAUGUGGAGGUGCUCUCUGGUGUUUAGGUAAUGUAGCAUUGGCUACAGCCAUGCUACUUGGACUAAUAUACUCUUUAAAUCUUACUCAUCCACAGGAGAUCAUUACACUUUUAAGGUGCUCCAAAAAAUGAUUCUCGAGCUGAACUUGUGUAAAUUGUCCGCCAAAGCACAGGCGCAGAAAACAAAACUCUUCACUUAGGUGUGCUGUGUUUGACGAUCCCUUUGUGAAUGCUGUGUUUUAUUUCCUUGUAUGCUCAUGUGAUUUUGUUGUAUCUGAAUUUUUGAACGAUGAGCAGAGGUGAUUACGUCUCUCAAUCACAUUUAAUAUCAUGUUUAAGAAAACAAAAUAAAAUAACAUUUUGUUAUAUUC